ACAUUGGGUAGGGGAGCGUUCUGUAAGCCGUUGAAGGUGAAUCGUAAGGUUUGCUGGAGGUAUCAGAAGUGCGAAUGCUGACAUGAGUAACGACAAAGGGGGUGAAAAACCUCCUCGCCGGAAGACCAAGGGUUCCUGUCCAACGUUAAUCGGGGCAGGGUGAGUCGACCCCUAAGGUGAGGCCGAAAGGCGUAAUCGAUGGGAAACGGGUUAAUAUUCCCGUACUUCUGACUAUUGCGAUGGGGGGACGGAGAAGGCUAGGUGGGCCAGGCGACGGUUGUCCUGGUUCAAGUGCGUAGGCUUGAGAGUUAGGUAAAUCCGGCUCUCUCUAAGGCUGAGACACGACGUCGAGCUACUACGGUAGUGAAGUCAUUGAUGCCAUGCUUCCAGGAAAAGCCUCUAAGCUUCAGAUAGUCAGGAAUCGUACCCCAAACCGACACAGGUGGUCGGGUAGAGAAUACCAAGGCGCUUGAGAGAACUCGGGUGAAGGAACUAGGCAAAAUGGUACCGUAACUUCGGGAGAAGGUACGCUCUUGAUGGUGAAGUCCCUCGCGGAUGGAGCUGACGAGAGUCGCAGAUACCAGGUGGCUGCAACUGUUUAUUAAAAACACAGCACUGUGCAAAAUCGCAAGAUGACGUAUACGGUGUGACGCCUGCCCGGUGCCGGAAGGUUAAUUGAUGGGGUUAGCGCAAGCGAAGCUCUUGAUCGAAGCCCCGGUAAACGGCGGCCGUAACUAUAACGGUCCUAAGGUAGCGAAAUUCCUUGUCGGGUAAGUUCCGACCUGCACGAAUGGCGUAAUGAUGGCCACGCUGUCUCCACCCGAGACUCAGUGAAAUUGAAAUCGCUGUGAAGAUGCAGUGUACCCGCGGCUAGACGGAAAGACCCCGUGAACCUUUACUACAGCUUGGCACUGAACAUUGAACCUACAUGUGUAGGAUAGGUGGGAGGCUAUGAAGACGUGACGCCAGUUGCGUUGGAGCCGUCCUUGAAAUACCACCCUUGUAUGUUUGAUGUUCUAACUUAGACCCAUUAUCUGGGUUGAGGACAGUGCCUGGUGGGUAGUUUGACUGGGGCGGUCUCCUCCCAAAGAGUAACGGAGGAGCACGAAGGUGGGCUAAUCACGGUUGGACAUCGUGAGGUUAGUGCAAUGGCAUAAGCCCGCUUAACUGCGAGAAUGACGGUUCGAGCAGGUGCGAAAGCAGGUCAUAGUGAUCCGGUGGUUCUGUAUGGAAGGGCCAUCGCUCAACGGAUAAAAGGUACUCCGGGGAUAACAGGCUGAUACCGCCCAAGAGUUCAUAUCGACGGCGGUGUUUGGCACCUCGAUGUCGGCUCAUCACAUCCUGGGGCUGAAGUCGGUCCCAAGGGUAUGGCUGUUCGCCAUUUAAAGUGGUACGCGAGCUGGGUUUAGAACGUCGUGAGACAGUUCGGUCCCUAUCUGCCGUGGGCGUUGGAAGAUUGAAGGGGGCUGCUCCUAGUACGAGAGGACCGGAGUGGACGAACCUCUGGUGUUCGGGUUGUGUCGCCAGACGCAUUGCCCGGUAGCUAAGUUCGGAAUUGAUAAGCGCUGAAAGCAUCUAAGCGCGAAGCGAGCCCUGAGAUGAGUCUUCCCUGACAGUUUAACUGUCCUAAAGGGUUGU
rnacentral:rRNA from 1 species